rnacentral:rRNA from 1 species
UACGAAGGGGGCUAGCGUUGCUCGGAAUUACUGGGCGUAAAGGGAGCGUAGGCGGUUAGUUUAGUCAGAGGUGAAAGCCCAGGGCUCAACCUUGGAACAGCCUUUGAUACUGGCUAUCUUGAGUACGGGAGAGGUGAGUGGAACUCCGAGUGUAGAGGUGAAAUUCGUAGAUAUUCGGAAGAACACCAGUGGCGAAGGCGACUCACUGGCCCGUUACUGACGCUGAGGCUCGAAAGCGUGGGGAGCAAACAGG